UCGGGUUGUAAAGCACUUUUGUCCGGAAAGAAAACUUCGGCCCUAAUACGGCGGGAGGAUGACGGUACCGGAAGAAUAAGCACCGGCUAACUACGUGCCAGCAGCGCGGUAAUCGUAGGGUGCGAGCGUUAAUCGGAAUUACUGGGCGUAAAGCGUGCGCAGGCGGUUCGUUAAGACAGAUGUGAAAUCCCCGGGCUUAACCUGGGAACUGCAUUUGUGACUGGCGAGCUAGAGUAUGGCAGAGGGGGGUAGAAUUCCACGUGUAGCAGUGAAAUGCGUAGAGAUGUGGAGGAAUACCGAUGGCGAAGGCAGCCCCCUGGGCCAAUACUGACGCUCAUGCACGAAAGCGUGGGGAGCAAACAGGAUUAGAUACCCUGGUAGUCCACGCCCUAAACGAUGUCAACUAGUUGUUGGGGAUUCAUUUCCUUAGUAACGUAGCUAACGCGUGAAGUUGACCGCCUGGGGAGUACGGUCGCAAGAUUAAAACUCAAAGGAAUUGACGGGGACCCGCACAAGCGGUGGAUGAAGGUGGAUUAAUUCGAUGCAACGCGAAAAACCUUACCUACCCUUGACAUGGUCGGAACCCUGCUG
rnacentral:rRNA from 1 species